UACGGAGGGUGCAAGCGUUAAUCGGAAUUACUGGGCGUAAAGCGUGCGUAGGUGGUUCGUUAAGUCCGUUGUGAAAGCCCCGAGCUCAACUUGGGAACUGCAUUUGAGACUGCUCUGCUCGGGUGCGGAAGAGGGAAGCGGAAUUUCCGGUGUAGCGGUGAAAUGCGUAGAUAUCGGAAGGAACACCUGUGGCGAAAGCGGCUCACUGGACCAUUACUGACGCUGAGGCACGAAAGCUAGGGGAGCAAACAGG
rnacentral:rRNA from 1 species